CACCCGCGGACAUGUGGUUUAUUCGAUGCACGCGAAGAACCUUACCUACUCUUGACAUCCACGGAAUUUAGCAGAGAUGCUUUAGUGCCUUCGGGAACCGUGAGACAGGUGCUGCAUGGCUGUCGUCAGCUCGUGUUGUGAAAUGUUGGGUUAAGUCCCGCAACGAGCGCAACCCUUAUCCUUUGUUGCCAGCGGUCCGGCCGGGAACUCAAAGGAGACUGCCAGUGAUAAACUGGAGGAAGGUGGGGAUGACGUCAAGUCAUCAUGGCCCUUACGAGUAGGGCUACACACGUGCUACAAUGGCAUAUACAAAGAGAAGCGACCUCGCGAGAGCAAGCGGACCUCAUAAAGUAUGUCGUAGUCCGGAUUGGAGUCUGCAACUCGACUCCAUGAAGUCGGAAUCGCUAGUAAUCGUGGAUCAGAAUGCCACGGUGAAUACGUUCCCGGGCCUUGUAAAACCCCGCCCGUA
rnacentral:rRNA from 1 species